GAUGAAGAACGUAGCGAAAUGCGAUAAGUAAUGUGAAUUGCAGAAUUCAGUGAAUCAUCGAAUCUUUGAACGCACAUUGCGCCCGCCAGUAUUCUGGCGAGCAUGCCUGUUCGAGCGUCAUUUCAACCAUCAAGCCCCAGGCUUGUGUUGGAGCCCUGCGGCUGCCGCAGCCUCCCAAAACCAGUGGCGGGCUCGCUAUCACACCGAGUGCAGUAGUUUACUCUUCGCUCAGGGCGUGUGGCGGGUGCUAGCCGUGAAACCCCCAACUUCUCAAGGUUGACCUCGGAUCAGGUAGGAAUACCCGCUGAACUUAAGCAUAUCAAUAAGCGGAGG
rnacentral:misc_RNA from 1 species